UUAAAAAAUGAUGAAAAUUUACUGCCCCAGUCUGAAUACCAUGACAGAGUAGUUUUUACUGAUAUUAA